GUCACGCUGUAAACGAUGUCGAUUUGGAGUUUGUUGCCUAGAGUGAUGGGCUCCGAAGCUAACGCGAUAAAUCGACCGCCUGGGGAGUACGGCCGCAAGGUUAAAACUCAAAUGAAUUGACGGGGGCCCGCACAAGCGGUGGAGCAUGUGGUUUAAUUCGAUGCAACGCGAAGAACCUUACCUGGUCUUGACAUCCAUAGAAUUCUGCAGAGAUGUGGGAGUGCCUUCGGGAACUAUGAGACAGGUGCUGCAUGGCUGUCGUCAGCUCGUGUUGUGAAAUGUUGGGUUAAGUCCCGCAACGAGCGCAACCCUUAUUCUUUGUUGCCAGCGAUUUGGUCGGGAACUCAAAGGAGACUGCCGUUGAUAAAGCGGAGGAAGGUGGGGACGACGUCAAGUCAUCAUGGCCCUUACGACCAGGGCUACACACGUGCUACAAUGGCGUAUACAAAGGGAAGCGAAGGUGCGAGCUGGAGCGGAUCUCAUAAAGUACGUCUAAGUUCGGAUUGGAGUCUGCAACUCGACUCCAUGAAGUCGGAAUCGCUAGUAAUCGUAGAUCAGAAUGCUACGGUGAAUACGUUCCCGGGCCUUGUACACACCGCCCGUCACACCAUGGGAGUGGGUUGCACCAGAAGUAGAUAGCUUAACCGCGAGGGGGGCGUUUACCACGAUGUGAUUCAUGACUGGGGUGAAGUCGUAACAAGGUAACCA
rnacentral:rRNA from 1 species